UCCUGAUGGAAUUUUUCCAGUCUUCUAUGUGAAGGCUCACUCAUGAGUUUAAAUAUCACAUGGAUUCUCCUGUAUGGUAAACCUAAGACAAACAAAAGUUUUCCAGAUGCAAAGCCAACUUCUCAGCAUGUGUCAAGAUGUACUCCACGUACACACCUGUAUGUCUCAAAUCAAAAACUUCUGCUAAUUACAGUGUGGUCCUCCAGAACUCCUCAUGGUGAGAGCAUGAAAGAAGAUCAUAAUUUUGCAAGUUACUGUGAAUGAGAUCAUGGAUACUGGAAGUCGUGUUUACCCUGAAUCAGUUUCACCCAAGACUUAAAUCCUCUUUAAAGCCAAUGAAUCCACUCAAGGACAGAUACUAUUAUUCUGUUCGAUAUUAUUAUAUGAAAUAGAUUUCUACAUGAUUACCACUUAUUGAAAG
rnacentral:lncRNA from 1 species